AGAUGCUUGGGAUCAUUUCGGAUGAAUGGAUAAAGAAAAUGAGGUCUGUUCAUACCAUGGAAUAUUACUCAGCCUUUAAGAAGAAGGAAAUCCUGCCGUUUGAGACUUGGCUGAACCUGCAUCUCUUGCCUGGACCACCACCUUCCCCACUGUACCCUUAUGGCUACAGGGGGACCCACAGUUCAUCCACUCAGCAAACACAGGCAGGAGGUGGCGCCUGCAUCACGGACUAUCUCUUGGGAGGGCAGCUUGAUGCAGAAAGACAAUGACCGUGGCACAUGGGAAGUGGCAGGGGAGCUACAUUCCAGAAAAUUUUGUGAGGCUCUCAAUGAUCUUAUGUGGUGGGGCCUCAAUGAAAAAGGAGAGCACAUCCUGAGGCAGGUGGAUGGAGCCCGGAGAGGGGAGAGGAACCGCCUCGGAUUCUGAGAAGUGCAUGGAGGCAGGCAGUGGGAUGCCAGGCUCCACAGGAGCUAUGUGUGAACUCACCAUCUGUCUCACUGCAGCUUCCUGGGAUGCAGUCUCUUGUCUUCUCUGCCCUUAGGACACAGUUCUUCCUUCUGCCCCAGGGAGGCUGUGGAAGAAGGAAGGAAGCUCCAGAGUCUGGCAGAGGUGCCCACUUACGAUCGCCCCCCUGAACCCUAAAUGCAAGACUACACUCAUUCCUGUCCAGGUUUAUCUUGUCAUCCUGAUGGCAUCCUCCAUUUUUUUCCUGAAGAGAGAGGUGGCACAUCUGUCACCAGUGGCUAAUGAAAGUUGGGAAAAUCUGCUUCUGCACGUGUCUGGAAGUGGACUGGGGUAGACAGGAUGUGUCUGGAUAUGGCUGUGCACGUCCCUGGGAACAGAAAGCCUGAUCCUGUGUGUGGCCCCUCAGCCCACCUCCAUCCAGGUGCGGAAACUCCAGCCCGAGUGGGGGGAGGACACGACCAUCUGUCUUCCUCCCUUGCCUCUGGCCUCCCUAGGUUUCCUGUCUGGCAGAUGCAAAGUAGCCUCAUCAUAUGCGGGGGGAGGGGGGGAACCUCAGCCGCUGGCUGGAUACAGCCAAGACCCCAAGCAUCUCCUCCACCCAUGUCCUCCUCCCCUACCAGGAUGUGGCCCCAGUGCUGGCUCCCGAAACUG